AUCAUUGUUGUUCUUAAAGGGGUGCUGCACUUGGUGUUGGAGUAACUUCUUGUAACCAUCCCAAGUCCCAGUUCUUGAGAAUGUUUACUGGAAGGACCUCAUCCUUCUUGUCUUUGUCUGGAUUGCAUUCCUUGCACUACAGAUUGCCAAGAAUUACACAGCAACCUGUUUGAUAGCAUACUGGGUUUUGAACUUAUUGCAGGAGUUUCAAUCUGCAGGAAUUGUUGGAUUUGGGUGAAGCACUUGGAACUCACAUCCAAGGUCUUUCCCAAGAGCGUAUCUCUUCACUUCCAAUCUUAA